UACGUAGGGUGCGAGCGUUGUCCGGAAUUACUGGGCGUAAAGGGCUCGUAGGCGGUCUGUCACGUCGGGAGUGAAAACUCAGGGCUUAACCCUGAGCCUGCUUCCGAUACGGGCAGACUAGAGGUAUGCAGGGGAGAACGGAAUUCCUGGUGUAGCGGUGAAAUGCGCAGAUAUCAGGAGGAACACCGGUGGCGAAGGCGGUUCUCUGGGCAUUACCUGACGCUGAGGAGCGAAAGUGUGGGGAGCGAACAGG
rnacentral:rRNA from 1 species